rnacentral:rRNA from 1 species
GACGAACGCUGGCGGCGUGCUUAACACAUGCAAGUCGAACGGAAAGGCCCUGCUUUUGUGGGGUGCUCGAGUGGCGAACGGGUGAGUAACACGUGAGUAACCUGCCCUUGACUUUGGGAUAACUUCAGGAAACUGGGGCUAAUACCGGAUAGGAGCUCCUGCUGCAUGGUGGGGGUUGGAAAGUUUCGGCGGUUGGGGAUGGACUCGCGGCUUAUCAGCUUGUUGGUGGGGUAGUGGCUUACCAAGGCUUUGACGGGUAGCCGGCCUGAGAGGGUGACCGGCCACAUUGGGACUGAGAUACGGCCCAGACUCCUACGGGAGGCAGCAGUGGGGAAAAUUGCACAAUGGGCGGAGGCCUGAUGCAGCAACGCGGCGUGCGGGAUGACGGCCUUCGGGUUGUAAACCGCUUUCGCCUGUGACGAAGCGUGAGUGACGGUAAUGGGUAAAGAAGCACCGGCUAACUACGUG